CGAAAACAACGGCACUAGGAGAGAUUUUCAACGACUGAUUUCAUGAUCGAAGACCUCCUGAUCGUUGCCAUUUCCCUUUCCCAUUAGGAUCAACAAGACUCCACUCACAUGACCUCUCUCUCUGUUCAGAAAAUCCUCCCAAAGCAGUCAGCUACAGCACAUUCUCCUUCCUUGCACCAAUACGUUCUCCUUAUCUAAAAAAUACUCCUCCUCUGUUUUUCUUUUCAAGACUUUCCUCCAACCAACUGUCCAAGAUAUACUUCGAUACACUGUUUGAGGUAAGGAUUUUUGCAACCACGGCUUACACUGCAAGGGAUCCCAGGUGAUGAUAUAUGGGCCAAGGCACUCCACAACCAGUUACAUGAGAACAGAGAAGGGUGAAUGAUGAAAUUGUUUAAAAACAGAGCAAGAAUGACGCGGGGAAAGAAGUAUUUAGACCAAGCCACGUAUCAUGAGUGAUAAACGGGCUUAAAACCGGUGGGACAAACAGGAAGGCUUCAAUACAACUAUCAUACAUCAAACUUAAACCCAAGGAAGAAUCUCACCAUUUACAGGGGAAAAACAAGAGUAUAAGAGGGGAUAAAACAGAGCAACUGCAAUGUGAGCUUAAAUACAACAAACUCAAUAAUCAACGCUUAAAAUCGACAAUGACAAGGAAAAUAACUCAAAGAAAUCCAAAGCAAAAGCGUUUGUAGUGGUCAUACCUGAACUCCUUAAGUGAAAAACAGUCCAACUCCUUCUCUUGCAGUCAUGAAAAAAAAUACCCUCAAAAAGAUGAACCUCCUCUAUUCUUUUCUUUCCUCUCACCUAUGGAAACUCCCUCCGGAAUCCUCUGGCAAUCCCCUC
rnacentral:lncRNA from 1 species